GAGGGUAGCACAUGCGCCCAGUCUGACAGGCCGGCUGGCUCGUUCAUUUGUGGUUACAUGCCUUGUGUGAUAAUAUGUAGUGCAAGGUUACCGUUGGCAGCUUGGAAGUGUACACUGGUAAGAGUCUCCACACACGGGCACGGUUCUUGUGAUGUCGCCGCCGCCCGGAUUUGGCGUGUACAUACUAUGAAGUAUUGAGGGAGGCAAGGUGUCACCUGCCCGUAACGUCUAUGGAGCAAGCAAGGUUAAUGUCCAGGAUGCCUCAAGAGACGUGGUGACUGCCAGGCCGUAACGGACAUGACUUGCUUCCAUGGAAAAGCGGUCCGGCUUUCCCAGGUGUUGGGGGUAAUGAAGAAACACAGGUGGCUACGUUUUCCACCUGUUGGCGCUAAAAGGAUUAACCUGGUGAAUGAUUGUGAGUUUUGUUUGUAGCAGCUGAACCGCCUGGACCAUGCUUUGUUUGCUUCUGGCUUUUGUGGUGUUGGAGUGUGGCUGUUUUGUGUUUACUGUGUGUGUGUGUGUGUGUGUGUGUGUGUGUGUGUGUGUGUGUGUGUGUGUGUGUGUGUGUGUGUGUGUGCUUCCGUGCGUGUGUGUGUUGAUAAUUACUUUACUGAGACAAUUGGCCAAUCAGGAGGCUUCGUUAAAAGUUUGAGAUAGAGAGAGUAAAAAAAAGUUUUCAGCAAUCAGAGAUAACUUUUCUAAACCUUGUGAACGUAUUGAUUAAUUGAGUGUGUGUGUGUGUGUGUGUGUGUGUGUGUGUGUGUGUGUGUGUGUGUGUGUGUGUGUGUGUGUGUGUGUGUGUGUGUGUUUGCAAUUUUUGUCUUCUUUUGUGUUGUUGCUGUAUCGUGAAAUUUAAGUAAAAGUAGCUUUGUCUUUUGUCUGUGAUUGAAUUCUUUUUGGUUUUCGUUUUGUUUGCUUUAGUUUGGGUGUCUUAAAAAUACAACAGGAAGCAACUUGUA